rnacentral:lncRNA from 1 species
UGCUUGUGGUUGUGGUGGUGGAGCUACCGGUGCGGGUUUAGGAGCUUCCUUGGGCUUCUCAGGUUCUUUGGGCUUUUCAGGUUGUUUGGGCUUCUCGGGUUCCUUGGGCUUCUCGGGCUGUUUGGGCUUUUCUGGCUCUUUGGGCUUCUCGGGCUGUUUGGGCUUUUCUGGCUCUUUGGGCUUCUCAGAUUCCUUAGGUUUCGCGAGUUCUUUUGGUUUUUCCGGUUCUUUCGGCUUCUCGGGUUCCGUAGACUUCACGGGCUCUUUGGGGUUUUCAGGCUGCUUGGGCUUUUCUGGUUCUUUAGGCUUUUCGGGCUGCUUGGGCUUCUCGGGCUCCUUAGGUUUCUCUGGCUCUUUAGGUUUUGCGGGCUCUUUGGGCUUCUCGGGCUCUU